AUCAAGGUGAUUUGAUUACCUGAAGGAAGCCAGCGUCAAAUUUCUGCUCCUAGGGACAUGAAUCUCAUACAAGGCUAGGGAAAAGAAUCCUGGAGGGUUUUGGA
rfam:Bacillus pseudalcaliphilus strain DSM 8725 super1, whole genome shotgun sequence.